rnacentral:lncRNA from 1 species
GUGACAGAAGUCCUGCAUACAGUGGAGCACGUGGGAUCUGAGAGGCGGCGGUGCCAGUUAUUUCUGAGGCAAAAAUGUCUAAAUGCAUGUGAAUUAUAAUUUAUCUUUAAAUUAUUUUCUGUAUAUUUGGGUCUAGUGGAGGGCAUCCUUUAUACUGCUGAUUUAGAAUCUAAGAGAGAAAGAGAGAAGCUAUUAUUCCUUUGUUUGUCCAAGAGCCUUCCUCAAGUGUUUUUUUUUUUCCUUUCCCACUCAUUUUAUAAUUCUCUUGAAUUCCUGGCAUAUGAAAUAGGGGUUUUCCUUUGUUAUUAUCUUGUGCAAACUUGCAGGGCACUCACAAACCUUAAUCAAGUUACCUCAUGGGCCAGUCUAGCUCCUCUCAGAAAGCUCUUGAACCCCAUUUGCCAUUUAAAAAAAAAGUUUAAAGCUGUGUGAGAUGGUAUGACUUCAAUGUUUGAGAAGUCUGCCUUGGCUGAAUAUCUAAUCCCAUAAAUUAGGGGGAAUAAAAACCUCAUUGUAACCAGAACAACACUGGCUCUGAGACGUGUUGGGCAAAACAUGACCGCUUAGGCAGCAAAUGCGUCAGGGAGUGGCAGACCCCGAUGUGCGGGGAGGCAGUGGGAUAAUGGGAGCCUUGGGAGGCCCCGGUGGCCCUCAGGUGGGAAUAAUUCUGGAGAAAGAGCUGGUGCAGCCAGAACGGUGGGAGGGCUGCUAGUGGGGUGGAGAGAAUGAUUUAAGGAUUAGAGUUUGAAGAAGUUUGAAAGUAGAAUUUAACACUCUAACAAGCUCGGGUGAUGGAUAAGGAUAUUUUAUCCAUCCCUCCAUCCCUCCAGAUCGUCUCUUUGGAGAAAGGUAACUUGGAGAAAUUUAAUAUCUCCCCAGAUUGUAUGAGGCCAGAAACUCCAGGAUUGUAUUUGAUCCUAAUUCCACACUGUCAUAUAUAAGGGGAAAUGGCACAAAUCACUUCUACCAUAUCACCAGCCAACCUAUUUUCUGAUGAGAAGGACAAUCCUUUGUUUUGGAGGAGUUUAUAAAGUGGAAUUUAUUUUACUCGACUCCUUCUUUGAUUGAAAUAUUGUCAACUUAACAAAAUAGUGAAAGAGCAUUGGCCUGGAGUCAGAAGACUUGAAUUCUCAUCCUAGAUCUGCUACUAACUAGCUGUUUGACCCUGAGAAGUCACUUUACCAGAAUUACAGUCUUUCUCUGAGAUGAGGAAAGUGGAGUAGAUAUGUCACUUGCGGUCCCUCCCAAGUGCUAAGAUUCUAUGACUCCACGAAUUCAGGCUAUCAGAGGAGAACACUGCAGCGUUCUUCUACAUAGGUUGUAAAUGUGGGAGGUGCCUGCCAUCUACCUUGGAAUUCUCCCUAAAUAUGAAGACUGCUUAGAUUCUGCAUAGACAAAAUGACAAGAGCCUACUGCGCAGGAAGAAGAAGGGGAAAUUAAAGAGAAAAUCCAAUGCAAAGUGACACUUUCAAUCCAUAAUAUAU